UACGGAGGUGGCCAGCGUUGUUCGGAAUUACUGGGCGUAAAGGGCGCGUAGGCGGCCUGCUAAGUCGGCUGUGAAAUCCCUCGGCUCAACCGAGGAACUGCAUCCGAUACUGGCGGGCUUGAAUCCGGGAGAGGGAUGUGGAAUUCCAGGUGUAGCGGUGAAAUGCGUAGAUAUCUGGAGGAACACCGGUGGCGAAGGCGGCAUCCUGGACCGGUAUUGACACUGAGGCGCGAAAGCUAGGGGAGCAAACGGG
rnacentral:rRNA from 1 species